CUGACACAGGGAGGUAGUGACAAGAAAUAACAAUACAGGGCAUCCAUGUCUUGUAAUUGGAAUGAGUAGAAUUUAAAUCCCUUUUCGAGUAUCAAUUGGAGGGCAAGUCUGGUGCCAGCAGCCGCGGUAAUUCCAGCUCCAAUAGCGUAUAUUAAAGUUGUUGCGGUUAAAAAGCUCGUAGUUGGAUUUCUGCCGAGGACGACCGGUCCGCCCUCUGGGUGAGUAUCUGGAUUGGCCUGGGCAUCUUCUUGGAGAACGUAGCUGCACUUGACUGUGUGGUGCGGUAUCCAGGACUUUUACUUUGAGGAAAUUAGAGUGUUUCAAGCAGGCAUACGCCUUGAAUACAUUAGCAUGGAAUAAUAAGAUAGGACUUCGGAACUAUUUUGUUGGUUUGCGUUUACGAAGUAAUGAUUAAUAGGGACAGUUGGGGGUAUUCGUAUUUCGUUGUCAGAGGUGAAAUUCUUGGAUUUCCGAAAGACGAACUACUGCGAAAGCAUUUACCAAGGAUGUUUUCAUUAA
rnacentral:rRNA from 1 species